rnacentral:tRNA from 1 species
GAGGUUGUGGCUCGGCGGUAGAGCGUUUGCCUAGCAUACAUGAGGCACUGGGUUUGAUACCCAGCACUACA